rnacentral:rRNA from 1 species
AGAGUGAACGCUGGCGGUAGGCCUAACACAUGCAAGUCGAACGGCAGCACAGUGGUAGCAAUACCAUGGGUGGCGAGUGGCGGACGGGUGAGGAAUACAUCGGAAUCUACCUUUUCGUGGGGGAUAACGUAGGGAAACUUACGCUAAUACCGCAUACGCCCUUCGGGGGAAAGCCGGGGAUCGCAAGACCUGGCGCGGAUAGAUGAGCCGAUGUCGGAUUAGCUAGUUGGUGAGGUAAUGGCUCACCAAGGCGACGAUCCGUAGCUGGUCUGAGAGGAUGAUCAGCCACACUGGAACUGAGACACGGGUCCAGACUCCUA